UGACGAGUGGCGCACGGGUGCGUAACGCGUAUGCAACCUACCUUUAACUGAGGAAUAGCUCCGAGAAAUCGGGAUUAAUCCCUCAUAAUAUUUUUGAAAGGCAUCUUUUAAAAAUUAAAGUUUCGACGGUUAUUGAUGGGCAUGCGUGGCAUUAGUUUGUUGGUGAGGUAACGGCUCACCAAGACAUCGAUGCCUAGGGGGCCUGAGAGGGUGAUCCCCCACACUGGUACUGAGACACGGACCAGACUCCUACGGGAGGCAGCAGUAAGGAAUAUUGGGCAAUGGACGAAAGUCUGACCCAGCCAUGCCGCGUGCAGGAUGACGGCCCUAGUGGUUGUAAACUGCUUUUAUACGGGAAGAAAAGUUCCAACGUGUUGGAAUGUGACUGUACCGUAUGAAUAAGCAUCGGCUAACUCCGUGCCAGCAGCCGCGGUAAUACGGAGGAUGCAAGCGUUAUCCGGAUUCAUUGGGUUUAAAGGGUGCGUAGGCGGAUUGGUAAGUCAGUGGUGAAAUCCUCUCGCUUAACGGGAGAAUUGCCGUUGAUACUAUCAAUCUUGAGUACACUUGAAGUGGGCGGAAUGUGUCAUGUAGCGGUGAAAUGCAUAGAUAUGACACAGAACACCGAUUGCGAAGGCAGCUCACUAAAUUGUAACUGACGCUGAGGCACGAAAGCGUGGGGAGCAAACAGGAUUAGAUACCCUGGUAGUCCACGCUGUAAACGAUGAUCACUAGCUGUUGGCGAUACACUGUCAGCGGCUGAGCGAAAGUAUUAAGUGAUCCACCUGGGGAGUACGAUCGCAAGGUUGAAACUCAAAGGAAUUGACGGGGGCCCGCACAAGCGGAGGAGCAUGUGGUUUAAUUCGAUGAUACGCGAGGAACCUCACCUAGGCUUAAAUGCUUUUUGACCGUCCUGGAAACAGGAUUUCCCUUCGGGGCAAAUUGCAAGGUGCUGCAUGGUUGUCGUCAGCUCGUGCCGUGAGGUGUCGGGUUAAGUCCCAUACCGAGCGCAACACCUAUUAUUAGUUGCCAUCAGGUAAUGCUGGGAACUCUAAGGAAACUGCCUCCGCAAGUAGUGAGGAAUGGUGGGGAUGAUGUCAAAUCAGCA
rnacentral:rRNA from 1 species